UACGUAGGGGGCGAGCGUUGUCCGGAUUUAUUGGGCGUAAAGAGCGUGUAGGCGGUUCGGUAAGUCUGUCGUGAAAUCCUGAGGCUCAACCUCGGGUCUGCAGUCGAUACGAGCAAACUAGAGUGUUGCAGGGGAGACUGGAAUUCCUGGUGUAGCGGUGAAAUGCGCAGAUAUCAGGAGGAACACCGGUGGCGAAGGCGGGUCUCUGGGCCGAUACUGACGCUGGAGGAGCGAAAGCGUGGGGAGCGAACAGG
rnacentral:rRNA from 1 species